CGCAUCGACUCGACUCCUCCGCUCCCCAUCACCACCGCUGCACUCACCUCCUCCUCCGCCGUCGCACGCCGCCUUGGUCGCGCUCUCCUCCUCCUUCCCCGUCGCCACUGCGUGUACGUGCUCUCCUCCGCCCCCCUCCCACCCACCGCGUUGGCGCUCUCCUUCUCCGCCGCCACCGCUGGUCGCCUCGCUGUACUCGUCUCCAUCGCCACCACAUCAAAUCGCGGGGAAGAAGAGCUGCAGCCACAAAUAGACGACAAUCUGAGGCAGUUGGUCAUGGGAGUGUGAGGAUCUUAUCUUAUCACUUCAGCGGCAUGUCGUCAAGAUUUACUAGGUGGGCUUGUUGUUCCUGCAGUUCUCUUUGUUUGUUUCUCAAGCUGUCGUAUCAUGUGUAUGCAGGCUGGUGAUGCUGUAUCAUGUGUAUGCAGUAGGCUGGUGAGGUGGCCGGCCGGCAGUGUGCGUUUUGUUUCAUCCUGAUCCAUCGAACCAGCUCCUACUACUAACUACUGGUGGCUUGGCUUGAAAUAUUAGUGCAUUUGAGUGCUCAGUGGAAGCAAUGAAUGGUAUAAAACUGAAGCAAUCAGUGUGCUUGGUGGGAACCAAUGCAUGAUCUCAGAGAAGUGAAGUUUUACAUAUUUGAGAUGAAUCAACAUGGCAGUUGACUGUUAAUGGCGCUACAAGUCCUUUUGAUUCUUUGCAGUUGUGUUAUUUAUAUGCAUGCAAGUACCUGAUAUGGUUGGAUGAUACAAAUCUGUUAGAUGCAUUAUGCCUUGAUAGCCGUUUAUCUUUGUUUUUUAAUUUAUGGGUGUACGGCAAACCACAUGUUCUACAUUCUGUAACCGUGGUAGACGUUGCCAGAGAAGAUACGCAAGUUACCUAAUCUUUUCAUUUUUUCCAA